GUCCAGGCAGAUGUCGUUAUUCACAGCAGGGUUGGGGUACUUGGGGUACCGCGCUAGGAAUUUGUGGCAUAGCAACCCCAAGCUCUUCUCCUUCCGACUCGGCUGGGAUUUCUCAAAUUCGUCUCCUGAUAAGUGUUCCUGCAGAGGGAAAGGUCAACAGCCUUCCAACAGCUCCGGGCUCCACACUGACCGUCCCUUCAUCCACAAGCCCCCAAACGCCACCCAGCCUCCCUGUAAACCUACGUGCAAACAGUCUCUAGCUUCAGGUAAUGCACUUCGGUUGUCAGACAGGCCCCUUUUCUGAUCUCGACUUCGGAUCUCGGGGCUCACGGCGCUGAUGAGCAUUUUCAGGUUGGCUGUGGGUGUCCAUGGCUCUCCUUGGGAGACUUCCUUGGGCUUGGUUGGUGUGGUUAGAGGGCCCAAGUCAGGCUGGAUCUCAGCCAACACCAUGUUGGCCUUCGAGGACGGAUGCAGGGGGCUUUUCAUCAGUCCCCUUUUAUGUGGCUCAGAAAAGAGGUUUUCCUGGUUUAAGAGGAAUUAAUAACUGAGUUCAUUGUAAAACAGAACCUAGCAGAAAGGCUUUCUGCCUUUCAUAUUGACCAAGUAGGUUAAGAAUAUCACAGUGAUCUCUGGACAGUAUUUUCCUUUUUUGCUUGAGACAAGGUCUCACUAUACAUUCCAACCAGUCUGGAACUUACUAUGUAGUAACAAGCUGACCCUAAAUUAACAAUCCUCCUGCCUCUGCCUCUGUUGUGAUUACAGGCAUGUCCCCUGCUACUACGGUAAAUUUAAUAGUUAAACUUCCCACUUUUAACUUGGUAGAUACUAUGGAUCUAAAUGUCUUCACCAUGUGAUCUAAGAAUUUACAUUAAUAAAUAAAUAACAUUAACUACA
rnacentral:lncRNA from 1 species